rnacentral:rRNA from 1 species
UAGCCGCGGGAAUACCAGCUCCCCCGACUGGUCGGGAUGAUUAUUGGGGCCUAAAAGCGUCCGUAGCUGGUUCUUUGUGUGGCUCAUUAAAUCUAGCGGCUCAACCGCUGGGGCUGUGAGUCAUACUAUAGGGCUAGGGGGCGGGAGAGGCCAAGGGUACUCCAUGGGUAGGGGUAAAAUCCGCUGAUCCGUGGAAGACCAACAGUGGCGAAGGC